rnacentral:rRNA from 1 species
UACGUAGGGACCGAGCGUUGUCCGGAUUCAUUGGGCGUAAAGAGCUCGUAGGCGGCUGCUCAAGUCGAAUGUGAAAACUCGAGGCUCAACCUCGAGCCUGCAUUCGAUACUGGGCGGCUAGAGUCUGGUAGGGGGAUCUGGAAUUCCUGGUGUAGCGGUGGAAUGCGCAGAUAUCGGAAGGAACGCCGGUGGCGAAAGCGACGUGCUGGAUCUCUUCUGACGCUGAGGCGCGAAAGCCAGGGGAGCAAACGGG